rnacentral:rRNA from 1 species
UCAAGUAACUAAGGGCUUACGGUGGAUACCUUGGCAUCCAGAAGCGAUGAAGGGCGUGACUACCGACGAAAUGCUUCGAUGAGCCGGAAGUAGGCUAAGACUCGGAGGUACCCGAAUAAGGCAACUUCUUGAACUGCUUAUCGAACCAAUAGAUAAGUAAGAGCAAACCUAGUGAACUGAAACAUCUUAGUACCUAGAGGAAAAGAAAGCAAAAGCGAUUCCCGAAGUAGCGGUGAGCGAAAUGGGAACAGCCCAAACCACAAAAAUAUUUUGUGGGGUUGUGGGACAGCUAAAAGACAUAUGAAAGGUUAGGUAAAGUACUUGGAAUAGUACACCCUAGAGGGUGAAAGUCCCGUAGUCGAAAACCGGCUAUAUGUCAGUUGUAUCCCGAGUAGUGUGGGACACGUGAAACCCCGCAUGAAUCCACGAGGACCACCUCGUAAGGCUAAAUAUUCCUGGAUGACCUAUAGCGAAACAGUACCGUGAGGGAAAGGUGAAAAGAACCCCGUGAGGGGAGUGAAAAAGAACAUGAAACCGUAAGUCUACAAGCAGUAGGAAAACGACUAAACGUUUGACUCCGUGCAUGUUGAAGAAUGAGCCGGCGACUUAUGUGUAGUGGCAGGUUAAAAUAGAGAAUAUUGGAGCCAUAGUGAAAGCGAGCUUUAAGAGAGCGUAAGUCACUAUAUAUAGACCCGAAACCGGAUGAUCUAGCCAUGGCCAGGGUGAAACUUAGGUAAUACUAAGUGGAGGUCCGAACCGACUGAUGUUGAAAAAUCAGCGGAUGAGCUGUGGUUAGGGGUGAAAUGCCAAUCGAAUCCGGAGCUAGCUGGUUCUCCCCGAAAUGUGUUGAGGCGCAGCGACUAAUAGUCAAACCUAGGGGUAAAGCACUGUUUCGAUGCGGGCUGCGAGAGCGGUACCAAAUCGAUGCAAACUCUGAAUACUAGGCGUAAAGUUAGUCAGUGAGACAGUGGGGGAUAAGCUCCAUUGUCAAAAGGGAAACAGCCCAGACCACCAGCUAAGGCCCCUAAAUAUAAGCUAAGUGAUAAAGGAGGUGAAAUUGCUCAGACAGCCAGGAGGUUUGCUUAGAAGCAGCAAUCCUUUAAAGAGUGCGUAAUAGCUCACUGGUCAAGUGAUCUUGCGCCGAAAAUGAACGGGACUAAGCUUAUUGCCGAAACUGUGGGAUGUUUACAUCGGUAGGGGAGCGUUCUGUGUUAGGUUGAAGCAUUAGCGUAAGCGGAUGUGGACAAAGCAGAAGUGAGAAUGUCGGCUUGAGUAGCGAAAACAUUGGUGAGAAUCCAAUGCCCCGAAAACCCAAGGAUUCCUUCGGAAGGCUCGUCCACGAAGGGUAAGUCAGGACCUAAGGCGAGGCUGAAAAGCGUAGUCGAUGGAUAACAGAUUAAUAUUUCUGUACUAUGUGCUAUUGAUAUCGAGGGACGAAGAAGGCUAUAUCAUCCGAAGGUUGGUUAUCGGUUCAAGUCCAUAAGGCGAUGAAAAAAGCAAAAACUUUUUGAGCUAAAAGAUGAGUACAAGAUACUAAGGUAUCAAAGUGAUUGAUGCCAUACUUCCUAGAAAAGCUUGCAAUAUCCUAGAUAGCAUAUACCUGUACCGUAAACCGACACAGGUAGGUAGGUAGAGAAUACCAAGGGGCGCGAGAUAACUCUCUCUAAGGAACUCGGCAAAAUAGCCCCGUAACUUCGGGAGAAGGGGUGCCCUAUGAAGGGUCGCAGUGACCAGGCCCAAACGACUGUUUAGCAAAAACACAGGUCUCCGCGAAGUCGUAAGACGAUGUAUGGGGGCUGACGCCUGCCCAGUGCCGGAAGGUUAAAGAAAUUUGUUAGUUAUUAAAUGAAGCUUAUGACUGAAGCCCCGGUGAACGGCGGCCGUAACUAUAACGGUCCUAAGGUAGCGAAAUUCCUUGUCGGGUAAGUUCCGACCCGCACGAAAGGCGUAACGAUUUGGGCACUGUCUCGGAGAGAGACUCGGCGAAAUAGAAUUGUCUGUGAAGAUGCGGACUACCUGCACCAGGACAGAAAGACCCUAUGAAGCUUUACUGUAGCCUGGUAUUGAAGUCAAGUCUAUCAUGUGCAGUAUAGGUGGGAAGCAAAGAAAGUAUAUUUGCGGAUAUACCAGAGCUAGCAGUGAGAUACCACUCUUGAUAAACUAGACUUCUAAUUUUGGAUGCCAUUAUCUGGCCAAAAGACAUUGCCAGGUGGGCAGUUUGACUGGGGCGGUCGCCUCCUAAAAGGUAACGGAGGCGUGCAAAGGUUUUCUCAGACUGGUCGGAAAUCAGUCGUAGAGUGUAAAGGCAUAAGAAAGCUUAACUGCGAGACCUACAAGUCGAGCAGAGACGAAAGUCGGCCUUAGUGAUCCGACGGUGCUGAGUGGAAAGGCUGUCGCUCAACGGAUAAAAGUUACUCUAGGGAUAACAGGCUGAUCUCCCCCAAGAGUUCACAUCGACGGGGAGGUUUGGCACCUCGAUGUCGGCUCAUCGCAUCCUGGGGCGGUAGUACGUCCCAAGGGUUGGGCUGUUCGCCCAUGAAAGCGGUACGCGAGCUGGGUUCAGAACGUCGUGAGACAGUUCGGUCCAUAUCCGGUGCAGGCGUUAGAGUAUUGAGAGAAACUCUUCUUAGUACGAGAGGACCGGAAGAGACGCACCUCUGGUGUACCAGUUAUUGUGCCAACAGUAAACGCUGGGUAGCUAAGUGCGGAUUAGAUAACCGCUGAAAGCAUCUAAGUGGGAAGCUAGCCUCAAGAUAAGUACUCUUUCUGCGAUAGCAGUGAAGAUCACGGCCAGACUAGCCGUUAGAUAGGCAUUAAGUAUAAGUACAGUAAUGUAUUAAGCUGAGAUGUACUAACAGAUCAAAAACUUGAGAUU